rnacentral:lncRNA from 1 species
UGAUUAUAUCAAGCCACGCUCGGGGGGAUGGUGGUGAGAAGCCAGGCGCGGAGGUGGAAAAGACCUCCACGCAAUCCACAGUGCGGGGGGAGGGGGAGGAAGCGGAGGGAGUAGAGGGGAAGGAGAAGUAGGCAGGCACUGGACGCCUCCCGGGCUCCUUUUCCGCCAGACCCGGGCGCUGCUUGGGUCAGGGCGAAGCCUGGCCCUUCCUGCACCUUUCCGGGCGAGGUCCCCUAAACUAGGCGAGCAGCGUUUGGUAAUGGUAGUGGAGAGGGGUCGCCGUCCUUCCAACCUCAAACCCCUUUCCCCAUAAAGCUUCCCACCUUUUAGUCCGGAGGCUCCUCCCUCUCCUCAAUGCGUUCCCUUCCCUCAAGCGCUGCCACCAGCUGGGUAGAGAGGGCCACUGAAGCGGGAACAGAGAGAGGCCAGGGCUCGGACCCUCCCAGUUCCGCCUGGCAGCCUGUGCGCCGGCGGUUAGUUGAGUCAUCUGAUCCUGACUGCCGGAGAGGAACGCAUACCCAGAGGAGCGGCUCACCAAGCCCAGGCGGGAGGUGGAAGCUGCAGGGUCACCCGGGGCCCUGGCGACCAAAGGGCACUGAAGAUCUUUAAAGGAAGAUGUCUUACCACCUCUAAAGCUUUUUAACAAGAUGUGCUGUGGGCUCUGCAGACAGCGCCCAAUGAAGAGCUCCAAAAUAGGUUUCAGCAAUGGAAGCAUUACUGCAAUAAGUGACAGACUUCCAAGAUGACCAGUUAGCUAAGGACACACUCAAAUGCACGUGUAAGUUCUGGUACAGUUGACUAUAUCAGUUAACAUUCAUAUCUUGGUUAUAUGGUUUCAGCCCCACAGCACAAUACCAGAGUUAAGGAUAAAAUUAUUCUUAACAUCUUCUAUUAUUGUACUUCACAAAAUUUUACAAUCUUUAGGUGCAUCUUACAGAUUUUACACAAAAAUGUCUUGAUAUUGAAGGAUCUAGGCAUUGUUUUGAAUGAUUUCCAGCAUUAUCC